rnacentral:rRNA from 1 species
UUGAAACUCANNNGAANUGACGGGGNNCCGCACAAGCGGUGGAGUAUGUGGUUUAAUUCGACGCAACGCGAAGAACCUUACCAGGUCUUGACANNGANGGACAGAACCAGAGAUGGUUCCUNUUNUUCGGAAGCCAGAAAACAGGUGGUGCACGGUUGUCGUCAGCUCGUGUCGUGAGAUGUUGGGUUAAGUCCCGCAACGAGCGCAACCCCUAUCUUAUGUUGCCAGCACUUUGGGUGGGGACUCAUGAGAGACUGCCGCAGACAAUGCGGAGGAAGGCGGGGAUGACGUCAAAUCAUCAUGCCCCUUAUGACCUGGGCUACACACGUACUACAAUGGGAGUUAAUAGACGGAAGCGAGAUCGCGAGAUGGAGCAAACCCGAGAAACACUCUCUCAGUUCGGAUCGUAGGCUGCAACUCGCCUACGUGAAGUCGGAAUCGCUAGUAAUCGCAGGUCAGCAUACUGCGGUGAAUACGUUCCCGGGCCUUGUACACACCGCCCGUCACACCACGAAAGUCGGAAGUGCCCAAA